UACGAAGGGGGCUAGCGUUGCUCGGAAUGACUGGGCGUAAAGGGCGCGUAGGCGGAUGGCACAGUCAGACGUGAAAUUCCUGGGCUUAACCUGGGGGCUGCGUUUGAUACGUGCAGACUUGAGUGAGGAAGAGGGUUGUGGAAUUCCCAGUGUAGAGGUGAAAUUCGUAGAUAUUGGGAAGAACACCGGUGGCGAAGGCGGCAACCUGGUCCUUUACUGACGCUGAGGCGCGAAAGCGUGGGGAGCAAACAGG
rnacentral:rRNA from 1 species